rnacentral:rRNA from 1 species
AUUGAACGCUGGCGGCAUGCUUUACACAUGCAAGUCGAACGGCAGCGCGGGCUUCGGCCUGGCGGCGAGUGGCGAACGGGUGAGUAAUGCAUCGGAACGUGCCCGGUAGUGGGGGAUAGCGCGGCGAAAGCCGGGUUAAUACCGCAUACGACCUGAGGGUGAAAGCGGGGGACCGAAAGGCCUCGCGCUAUUGGAGCGGCCGAUGUCGGAUUAGCUAGUUGGUGGGGUAAAGGCUUACCAAGGCGACGAUCCGUAGCUGGUCUGAGAGGACGACCAGCCACACUGGGACUGAGACACGGCCCAGCCUCCUACGGGAGGCAGCGGUGAGGAAGUUUGGACAAUGGGAGCAAGACUGAGCCAGCCAGGCCGCGUGAGGGAAGAAGGCCUUCGGGUUGUAACCCGAUUUUGUGCGGGAAGAAAUCCUCUGGGCUAAUACCCCGGGGGGAUGACGGUACAGGAAGAAUAAGCACCGGCUAACUA